AUAUGCAUAAAUAAAUAAAUAAAUUUGCAGGUGGUAAAUUCUCCUUCGGCUGCUGCAGCUCUCCAGCCCAGGGCGUUGACUGGCUAGUCUUCAAUUGCCUCCCAACAUGGUAAUGAGGUCCUGAGCUGAUGUGAUCUGUGGCGAAGAGUGAAAUAGUUGCCUGAAGUAGCGUAUGGCACCCUUUCUAACCAGCAGCUGGCACCAACUUUGGGCAACAUCAGUGGACAAGGCCCAGAUCCUGUGGGAGACCUUCUACACUAACAUGUUAAAGGUUGUGGAGGGUCCUUCGAAACAACUUCAGGAACAGCGUACAGAAAAAUUGCCUCUAGUGAUGCUACAGGAAGUAGCAUGUUGUAUGUCAGAAAUAGAGGGCAAAAAAUAUGGAUUGGAAGUCCAGAACGUCAUCCUAGACUUUGAAGGUGUUGAUUGUUUGACAUUCAGAAUCAGGCAAGUGGUUCUAAUGAAGAUUACAAUGGUAUCAAAGUAGUGACUGGGUAAAGUGUGGCUGUUCUAAUGUGCACAUCUAUGAAGCUGGCUGUGAAGGGUCCUUCUAACAUCAGGAACCGAGUACAAAGAAAUUGCUGAAAGUAGCAUGGUUUUGUCAGAAUUAGAGGGCAAAAUGAAACGGUGUGAUGCAUCAAAUGAACAAAUCUAAAAGGGCUGUGAUGAGGGUUAGGAUGUUGGAGGAUUGCAGAUGCACCUUAAUCGACUGUGCCAUGAUAUGGUAAAAAUUGCAACUGGGAGGUCUACUGACGUAAUGGCUUGGUUUGAACCCUCAUGGAUUUGUUCAUAUAAAUGUGCUUUGCUAGAUUACAAUGGUAUCAAAGCAGCGCGUGGCUGUUCUGGUCGGCACAUCUAUGGAGCUGGUUGUGGAGGGUCCUUGUAUGCUACAGAAAGUAGCACAGGGGCUGGCCAGCUGAGCAGACAGCACACUGGAGAUGUGGUCCCAGGUUGAAUCCUGGGCUGAGUUUUUCACCCUAUGCCCCUAAUAAGAAUUGGGAAGUCCAGCUGUUCAUCGUAGAGUUUGAAGGUGUUGAUUGCUUGACAUUCAGAAUGGGGUGGUAAUGAAGAUUAUGAUGGCAUUGAGGAAUUGACUGGCUUAAGAAGUGUGGCUGUUCUACUCUGCACAUUCUAAUAAACUGGU